AUAAUGAAACUUCCGUCUAGUCACAGCUCGUGCUAUAGAAACCAGAAGGUGAGGGAAUAGUCCCACGCAAUGAGGGCGGCCCGGAGAGAUCCUCGGGGAGGUGAGAUUCCUAUGA
rnacentral:ncRNA from 1 species